rnacentral:lncRNA from 1 species
AUGGUGAAUGCUGCUGAGCCUCUCGUUCUGGCCUGCGGGCCCCUCGUUCUGCCUUCCCCACCUGCGGGUGGUGUGUGGGUGGCAGGGGUGCGGAAACCGGCCCGGCCUCUGCUGUCCCCGUGCUUUUGCGCGCGGGGGGGGUCGGGGUCCUCUGACGUGGCGGGCAUCCCUCGCCGUCGCCCUGUCGUGGGCUCUGUGGCUGCGGAGCCUUGCCUCCGCGCGAGCCUGUGCGGUGCCCCUGGAGUGGUCCAGGUUGUGCCUCAGGCGCCUGAAGCCGAGUGGUGGUGUUGCUCCUGUCCCCCCAGCGCCCUCUCCCGGGUGUCGCUGCUGCGGCUGCCUCUGGCUGCUGCCUGUGCCCCUUGGGAGUCUUGGGGGGGUCGAGGCGGUAAGAGAAGGAGACACGUGUGUGCUUCGCCUCGCUUGGAGGGAGGCUGCCGGUGUCGUGCCGUCGUCCCCACGUGUGUGUGGGGUAUCGGCUUGGUGGGCGCAUGCCUGCGCGCUUGCCACCCUGCCCCCGUGGGGUGGUGUGUGCCAGGUGUGUCGAGCGGUCGCGGUGUGGUCCGGUCUGGCCGGACGAGUGCGGGGGCCGGGAGGGCUGUGGCGAAUGGGAUUGGUAAUGCGCCCAGCCUGCCCUUGCCCUGGCCGCGGAUGCUCGAGGUGCCGUUCUUCCUUAUACCGCAGACCCCCCUCGCCCGAUUGAUCGGUUCUCUCGGGUGGUGCUCCCUCGGCUUGCCUCCCUGCCGGCCCCGGCGGGGGGGGGGGCAGUUGGGGUGGGGUGUGGCCCCACCUUCGGUGAGGAACGCCUUCUCUAGCGAUCCGAGAGGGGCGUGCCUUCUGACGGGGUACCGUUAUCCCCCGGCCGCCGUCCCUCCUGUGCUGAGUGCGUUGGGUGGCGUACCCCACCCGUGCGCCCCGUUUGCCCCUUCUGUUGGGGGGAAGCGUAGGCGUGCUGGUGGGUCUGCCGGUCCCCGCGGUGGGGACCGGGGCGCUGCUCUUUCGGCCCUAAUGGCCGCGGCCCGCGCCUCCCCCCUCCGUGUCGGGGGAGGGUCCCGCCGGGCCGGGCUGGCGGUCCGUCGCUCUUUCUUCGUGUUGGGGACCGGCGCGCGUGCCCGUGUGCGCGCGUGCCUUCCGCGUCACUCUCCGUGUGUUGCCUUGUCGGCCGGGGCUUGGCGGGGGCGCGCGUGGUCCGUCCUGCGCGUCCCCGGGGCUGUGGCGCGAGCGGGCAGCUCUCAGCUUCCCCUGCUCGCCACCCCGGGCUGCGACUGGCCGUCGUCGGGCGGCGGUCGGCACGUGUGUUGGGCUGCGCCCAGCCCUCUCUUCCCCCUCGGCCCGCGUGGUCGCCCCUGGGGAGCGUUCCCUCGGGGUCGCGGUGCUUCUCCGGGCAUGGAGAUCCGGAUGGUUGGAUGGGCGGGAGAUGGCGCGAGGGCCGUCCGGUGUGUGCGGUUGUUGGCGCUGUCGCGUCGAGGCGCCCUGGCGGCGGGGCUCUUGGGUGUGCGUGGGAGAAGACGUGGGGGGUCGCCAGAGGCCGGCUCCGGUGUCCCAGGCGUCGCGGGACCGCCCUGGUGUGUGGCGGUGGGAUCCCGUGUCCGUUUCCCCGGCGGGUCCGGCUUUUGUGGCCCAAGGCGCUCCCUGCGUCCUCUCCCUCGUGCCUCCGGUGCCUCGCCCUCCGUGGCCCUGGUGCGGCCCCCACCCCCCCGGCCCCGGCCGGGGGGGUGGGCGCCGGCGGCUUUGGUGACUCUAGAUAACCUCGGGCCGAUCGCACGCCCUCCGUGGCGGCGACGACCCAUUCGAACGUCUGCCCUAUCAACUUUCGAUGGUAGUCGCCGUGCCUACCAUGGUGACCACGGGUGACGGGGAAUCAGGGUUCGAUUCCGGAGAGGGAGCCUGAGAAACGGCUACCACAUCCAAGGAAGGCAGCAGGCGCGCAAAUUACCCACUCCCGACCCGGGGAGGUAGUGACGAAAAAUAACAAUACAGGACUCUUUCGAGGCCCUGUAAUUGGAAUGAGUCCACUUUAAAUCCUUUAACGAGGAUCCAUUGGAGGGCAAGUCUGGUGCCAGCAGCCGCGGUAAUUCCAGCUCCAAUAGCGUAUAUUAAAGUUGCUGCAGUUAAAAAGCUCGUAGUUGGAUCUUGGGAGCGGGCGGGCGGUCCGCCGCGAGGCGAGCCACCGCCCGUCCCCGCCCCUUGCCUCUCGGCGCCCCCUCGAUGCUCUUAGCUGAGUGUCCCGCGGGGCCCGAAGCGUUUACUUUGAAAAAAUUAGAGUGUUCAAAGCAGGCCCGAGCCGCCUGGAUACCGCAGCUAGGAAUAAUGGAAUAGGACCGCGGUUCUAUUUUGUUGGUUUUCGGAACUGAGGCCAUGAUUAAGAGGGACGGCCGGGGGCAUUCGUAUUGCGCCGCUAGAGGUGAAAUUCUUGGACCGGCGCAAGACGGACCAGAGCGAAAGCAUUUGCCAAGAAUGUUUUCAUUAAUCAAGAACGAAAGUCGGAGGUUCGAAGACGAUCAGAUACCGUCGUAGUUCCGACCAUA